rnacentral:rRNA from 1 species
AUUGAACGCUGGCGGCAUGCUUUACACAUGCAAGUCGGACGAGUGGCGAACGGGUGAGUAACAUAUCGGAACGUACCGAGUAAUGGGGGAUAACUAAUCGAAAGAUUAGCUAAUACCGCAUAUUAUUCGAUCGGCCGAUUUUUGAUUAGCGGGUUGGGGGGGUAAAGGCCUACCAAGGCGACGAUCAGUAGCGGGGCUGAGAGGAUGAUCCGCCACACUGGGACUGAGACACGGCCCAGACUCCUACGGGAGGCAGCAGUGGGGAAUUUGGGACAAUGGGCGAAAGCCUGAUCCAGCAAUGCCGCGUGACUGAAGAAGGCCUUCGGGUUGUAAAGCACUGUUGUCAGGGAAGCGGUACCUGAAGAAUAAGCACCGGCUAACUACGUGCCAGCAGCCGCGGUAAUAC